rnacentral:rRNA from 1 species
UACGUAGGGGGCAAGCGUUGUCCGGAUUUAUUGGGCGUAAAGAGCGUGUAGGCGGUUUGGUAGGUCCGCUGUGAAAACUCGAGGCUCAACCUCGAGACGCCGGUGGAAACCAUCAGACUAGAGUCCGGAAGAGGAGAGUGGAAUUCCUGGUGUAGCGGUGAAAUGCGCAGAUAUCAGGAGGAACACCAACGGCGAAGGCAGCACUCUGGGCCGGUACUGACGCUGAGGAGCGAAAGCGUGGGGAGCAAACAGG